UACGUAGGUGGCGAGCGUUGUCCGGAUUUACUGGGCGUAAAGAGCGCGCAGGCGGUCGUACAAGUCGCGUGUGAAAGCCCCCCGGCUCAACUGGGGAGGGUCACGCGAUACUGUUCGACUCGAAGGCAGGAGAGGGAAGCGGAAUUCCCGGUGUAGUGGUGAAAUGCGUAGAUAUCGGGAGGAACACCAGUGGCGAAGGCGGCUUCCUGGCCUGUUCUUGACGCUGAGGCGCGAAAAGCUGAGGGU
rnacentral:rRNA from 1 species